AGGGGGUGGGUGGGGGGAAGGAAAAGGAGCGGCACAGCCGCUUCCAUCAUCUCUCGGUUCUCCGUUCCCCGCCUGCCGCUCUCCAGCCCCGCACGGCGCGUAUCCCGCAGCCCCUCCGAGCCCCCCCCGCCCGCAGCCUCCCCUUCCCCGGGUGCUUUUCUCCCUCCUCCCUCCCCUCCCCGCCCGCAUUUCCUCCCUGCACCUUUAAGAAGCACAUUGCUCGCCGGUGGGAUGGUGUGUGCUAAAGCUGCACAGAGGAAGUUACGCAGCCCGGAUCAGGCACGGAGAUAAAAGCUCCGAUUGUGAUUGAAAGUGAUAGCAAACGGGAUUUCAGCCUCGGCAUUAACUUGCGAGGGGAGCCGGGCACCGCACGGAGCUCCCGGCCGCCCGCCCUUGGGGCCCGGCCCCAGAGUUGGCCGCUCCGCGGGAGCCCCGCGCCGCAGAGCCCCCCGGUGCAGCCCGCUAAUGAACUCCCCCUUCACUCUGACCAUGAGAGAGGGACGAGACCUCAGGUAGCAGCGUGGCUCGCAGCUGAAGGCUUGGGAACUCAAUGCUCCAUUGCAAAAAGGCGCAGACGGGCGGACAGACAGACAAACUGCACGCGGUGCCUCCCAGCGCUGCAGGAGCAGAGGACGGCACUGCCCACUGCGCAGACCCCACCGAUGCCACCACCCAACACAGCAGCUCCAACAUCAUCGCCCUUUGGGAGAAGGGGACUCUAGCCCCAAAUCACCUCUCUGCCAGCUCCCAGAUGCUACAGUAAUUUGACGCAUUAAUGUCCCAAAGCCCCAAUAAUUAUCAAAGCAGACCACGGUUUAAGGCGCUCUACCCAGGGACGCGUUUGCAGCAGACACGAAGGUCGAGGAACACCUGAUCCAGCACCAUCCCACAGCCUCUCCAAUUUGCUCCUAUCAAAUUUCAUCAGCGACUCAGAACUUGAUCUUUCUAUUGAUUGACUGGAGUCACCUCUAGAUAUUUUCAUGCUGAUUUGGAAGCCCUUUCGUAUGAUAAAAGGGGGAAAAAAUGAGGUCAAGGAAGACUUUUGACCACUGAGCAGCAAUCCCAGCCAAAACUUUCCCAAGCAAGUCAUUUGCAAAGUUGGCUUCUGAGCUAAGAGAAACUUUCCACAGCCGAACGCAACGUGGGAUCACUCCUGUCCUCACCCUGGCCUCCUAAACUGGACCAUCUGUAAAUGAGGAGUUUCCAUGCUGAGCCUGAGAGCAUCCCCUAGCCCAGCAGCCACCUCCCCCUGGACUCCUGGCACAUCCCCAGCCCAGGGCCCCCGUGCUCGGCCGCAGCUGCCAUGCUGUACCUGCUGGCUCUCCUCCUGCACCGUCUCCCCUUGGCCAUGGGACAGUAUGACAUUUGCAAGUCCUGGGUGACCACCGACGAUGGCCCGUCAUGGGAGUUCUACGCGUGUCAGCCCAAGGCCAUGAGGAUGAAGGAUUACGUGACGGUCAGAGUGGAUCCAGCAGGAAUCACGUGUGGGGACCCUCCGGAGAGGUUCUGCACUCAUGAGAAUCCGUACCUGUGCAGUGAUGAGUGCGAUGCCUCCAACCCAGACCUGGCCCACCCGCCAAAGCUCAUGUUCGACAGCGAGGAUGAGGGGCUGGCCACGUACUGGCAGAGCGUGACAUGGCGCCGGUACCCAGAGCCGCUGCUGGCCAACAUCACUCUGUCCUGGAACAAGAGCAUCGAGCUGACGGACGACAUCGUGAUCACCUUUGAGUACGGCCGUCCCACCAUCAUGAUGUUGGAGAAGUCGCUGGACAACGGGAGGACUUGGCACCCGUACCAGUAUUACGCAGAUGACUGCAUGGAGGCCUUCAGCAUGCCAGCACGGAGGGUCCGGGACCUCUCCACCACCAGUGCCAACAGGGUCCUCUGCACGGAGGAGUAUUCCCGCUGGGCGGGCUCCAAAAAGGAGAAGACCGUCCGCUUCGAGGUGAGGGACCGCUUCGCCAUCUUCGCUGGCCCUGACCUCAAGAACAUGGACAACUUGUACACCCGGAUGGAGAGCGCCAAGGGACUCAAGGACUUCUUCACCGUGACUGACCUGAGGAUGAGGCUGCUGCGACCGGCGCUGGGGGGCACCUACGUGCAGAGGGAGAACCUCUACAAGUACUUCUACGCCGUCUCCAACAUCGAAGUCACCGGCAGGUGCAAAUGCAACCUCCACGCUAACUUGUGCACCUUCAAGGAGGGCAGCCUCCAGUGUGAGUGCGAGCACAACACCACGGGGCAGGACUGCGGCAAGUGCAAGAAGAACUUUCGCUCCAGGUCUUGGCGAGCAGGAUCCUACCUGCCUCUCCCCAACGGGUCCCCCAAUGCAUGUGCAGCUGCAGGCUCAGCCUUUGGCACGUUUGAGCGACCGCCGCGGGUUAGCACCACCAAAACCACCACCGCCAAAACCACCACCACCAGCACCAGCACCACACCCACCACCACCAGCACCCCCCUUCCUGCCUCCACCACCACCCAGCCAGCAAGCAUCAUCAGACCUGCCUCUGAGCCCGCUGCCUCUGCGCCCAUGAAAGAGAUGCAGAAAAAAACAGGCUACCCCGGCCUGUCGGCGGCCGCCCCGCUGCAGGUGGGCUCUCCCCCAGCCAAGGCUGGGGCAGCAGAAGGUAGGAGACGCGUGGCUGAGCCGGGUCCUGCCAGCGAAUCCCUGCUCCCACUGCUUUUGUCUGUAGCUCUGCAGAUCUGCUUUCCAUGCAUCUCUCUCUUCCUCCCACCUGGGAAAAGCUGGGGGUUCAUCUGUGCCCUACAUGCAGCUGGUAAUCUGGUGAGGCUGGAUUGAGCCUCAGGGUUUAGUCGCAUACAUGAAAGAUGAGGAUGAUAAGUGGUAGAAGAGAUUGUUCUCGGCUUGCUGCUGGGGUGAACAGAGAGGAUCAUGGAAAUCCUGUUGUCUCCUGAGACCAGAAUAACUUUGUAAACAGAUAGGCUUGUGUCGUUUAUAGCAUAGAUGCCUUCUUACAUACUUCCUUGCUUCAGGUCUCUCAUGUGUCUGCCUGCAGUGAGCUAUGAAGCUCCUGGUGGGAGCCCUGGGAGCCUGUUGGGGCUGAAGUCUCUCCUCCUCGGGGCUCCCACUGGUACACAUGCUUCAGCAGCUCCUGGAGGUGCUCACUGCCCUUCUCCAGCUGAGACGCCUGUAGCUAUCUCCCCUGUAGACAUCAGCAUCCCUUCCAGUGCAGAAUGUAACACCAGCUGAAGCUGGGCCAGGACACCGCCCAGCAUCUGCUAAUAGUCAAUGGAGGACAGAAAGUGCUGGAAUUCAGGCUCGUUUGAACUACUGUGCUUUUGGGCUUGUCUCUAACCUCACAGAGAGAAAAGAUUGUAUUUGAAAUAGUAACAAGAGAUAGGCCAAGACCACUUGCAUCAAUGCCAGGUGAUGCUGACAGUCUGUACUGAACAAUGGGGACUUCUGUGUCUUGGCAGUGGUUUGAUUCUCUCCAUCCUCCAUGCAAUGCAAUGACCACAUGUCAACACUCAUCUGUCGAGCAGCUCCCCUUAGGACUAGUUUCGCUCUCUAUACUAGAAGACCAAUUUCCAGGAGACUUUGUCUCCCAUAUGUACCCCAGUGUAUUCUCAACCACACAUGGCUCUACCAACCCACCCUAGAUACCUGAAUAGAACUUCCAGUGUCCUUUUCUCACCUUUUUAAACAAGCAAGUGCAAGAUCUGUAUUAAAUCUGAUGUUCUCUCUAACUGAUGCCAACUUAAGCUGUUCAGAGCCCAACAAAAGUAGCAGCACCUGAACCCAAGCUGAAGCCACCAGACCCUCCCAAGAACAUUCGAGGUAAGGCCCUUUCCCAAAGAUGGAGCAGGACUGUUUUCUCCCCCACUGCCCAUAGGCUGGGGACAACAUACCCGUCCUCAGCAUGCCCCACCAUCGUGCAAUCCAUUCUCCUACUCAUAGCUGAGAUCAGCUCAGUUCUGCUCAUUCCACCCCAUGGAAGUCUUUCUAAAGGCUCUUUUGGGUUGGCAGACGUGGAUGGUUGGGACAGACCAGAGGAACCAGGAGACAGUUUCCCCAGCCACCAUUCCUUGAGAGACCAUUUGCCUUUUCCAUACCUAGAGAACGGGGAAGAUACACUGGGGGUCCAACGAGCACCAACUGGACCAGGGGCAGCCACUAAUCCUGGUGGAUCAGCCACCACCCAGCCCAGCAUGGCAGGCAUGGGGGCUCUGUAUCUCAGCAUUCAGAUAUAUUUUAUCAUCUCGUGUAGCAGCUCCGAAGAGCAAAGCAGGGCGCACAGCACACUCUGCAGGCAAGAGGCAUGGGAAGAAGUCAGGUAGGUGCUGGGAUGGGCAAGCGGGCUGGAGCAGCAUGGGUUCUGCAGGAUUCUGUGCUUUAUACCACCUCCGUAGCUUUUGUGCUCUUAGCUGUGGUCCUAGCUGCUUUUUGAGGGUGGCGAGGGGGUGUCGGCAUGGCCAUCAUCAAAUCAAGGCCACAGACAGGAGCUCUUGAGGCCUGUAGAUCCUCAGCCUGGCCAAGGCAAUCCCGUGUGUAACGAGGCGAUGCGUGGAUGGCUCCUUCUGCCCAGCACUCAGCUCUGUGCAUUGCAAUAUUGCAGUGCAUGGAAUUUUUCAUGCAUCAAACUUUGGGGAGGGGAGAAGAAGAGGAGAAAUUUAGCAGCUACCAGCUGUCUGGUGCAGAAAUAGCUUUCAGCGCUGCCAGCGCGGUGUUCCUGACUUGGCUCGUCAUUGUUCUCAUAGCAGAGAUGCUCGCGGUAGUGUAGGACGCAAAGUGGCGCGGAGCAGCAAGAAAAAGCCUGUCUCUGAUUUUUCUUAAGCAUCCUCAAAGAUCUCAAAACUCAUCCGGCUCCAACCAGACAGCGGCCCAGUGGCUCCUAUUGAAACAUAUAAAGACUGUGAGUGCUAUGGCCACUCCAACCGCUGCAGCUACAUUGACUUCCUGAAC